UGGCAAAGAGUCAAAGCUACUUCUGAGAAGAUGUUUGUGCAAGUCAAACCGUUUUGUUGCCAAUUAGCUAGCCAAAAACAACAAACAAUUAAUAAUACCCCCACAUUAAACAAUCAAAUCAUUUUACCCAAGUAUGUGCGACAGAAAAAUAAGUGCGAUAGAAAAAGUACCGUAAGGGAAAGCUGAAAAAGAAGUGAAAUAAAUCAGUCAAGCAAAAAAAAGCAGAGACUACACCUCGUACCUUUUGCAUCAUGAAUUAGUAAGACACCCCAAGCAAAACGACCUAUGUUUGACCCCCCGAAACUAAGUGAGCUACUCCGAGACAGCCUAGGGCACACCCGUCUCUGUGGCAAAAGAGUGGGAAGAGCUCCGAGUAGAGGUGAUAGAUCUACCGAACUUAGUUAUAGCUGGUUGCCUGAGAACUGAAUAUAAGUUCAGCCUCCCGGCUUCUCCACAAGUCACUAAAGAAUUGAGUUAAAGGAGGAACAGCUCCUUUAACAUAAGACACAAUAC
rnacentral:rRNA from 1 species